GAGGGUAUAGCUCAAUGGUAGAGCUCAUGCUUAGCAUGCACCAGGUCCUGGGUUUAAUCCCCAGCACCGCCA
rfam:Camelus ferus unplaced genomic scaffold scaffold340, whole genome shotgun sequence.